rnacentral:rRNA from 1 species
ACAGGGAUUGCCCUAGUAACGGCGAGUGAAGCGGCAACAGCUCAAAUUUGAAAUCUGGCGUCUUCGGCGUCCGAGUUGUAAUUUGCAGAGGGCGCUUUGGCAUUGGCAGCGGUCCAAGUUCCUUGGAACAGGACGUCACAGAGGGUGAGAAUCCCGUACGUGGUCGCUAGCCUUUACCGUGUAAAGCCCCUUCGACGAGUCGAGUUGUUUGGGAAUGCAGCUCUAAAUGGGAGGUAAAUUUCUUCUAAAGCUAAAUACUGGCCAGAGACCGAUAGCGCACAAGUAGAGUGAUCGAAAGAUGAAAAGCACUUUGGAAAGAGAGUUAAAAAGCACGUGAAAUUGUUGAAAGGGAAGCGCUUGCAGCCAGACUUGCCUGUAGUUGCUCAUCCGGGUUUCUACCCGGUGCACUCUUCUAUAGGCAGGCCAGCAUCAGUUUGGGCGGUUGGAUAAAGGUCUCUGUCAUGUACCUCUCUUCGGGGAGAACUUAUAGGGGAGACGACAUGCAACCAGCCUGGACUGAGGUCCGCGCAUCUGCUAGGAUGCUGGCGUAAUGGCUGUAAGCGGCCCGUCUUGAAACACGGACCAAGGAGUCUAACAUCUAUGCGAGUGUUUGGGUGUCAAGCCCGAGCGCGUAAUGAAAGUGAACGGAGGUGGGAACCUUUCGGGGUGCACCAUCGACCGAUCCUGAUGUCUUCGGAUGGAUUUGAGUAAGAGCAUAGCUGUUGGGACCCGAAAGAUGGUGAACUAUGCUUGAAUAGGGUGAAGCCAGAGGAAACUCUGGUGGAGGCUCGCAGCGGUUCUGACGUGCAAAUCGAUCGUCAAAUUUGGGCAUAGGGGCGAAAGACUAAUCGAACUAUCUAGUAGCUGGUUCCUGCCGAGUCU